rnacentral:rRNA from 1 species
UACGGAGGGGGCUAGCGUUGUUCGGAAUUACUGGGCGUAAAGCGCACGUAGGCGGACUACUAAGUCAGGGGUGAAAUCCCGGGGCUCAACCCCGGAACUGCCUUUGAUACUGAUAGUCUCGAGUCCGGAAGAGGUGAGUGGAAUUCCGAGUGUAGAGGUGAAAUUCGUAGAUAUUCGGAAGAACACCAGUGGCGAAGGCGGCUCACUGGACUGGUAUUGACGCUGAGGUGCGAAAGCGUGGGGAGCAAACAGG